rnacentral:tRNA from 1 species
UCCCCGAUAGCUCAGUCGGUAGAGCGCCGGACUGUUAAUCCGUAGGUCCCUGGUUCGAGCCCAGUCGGGGAGCCA